UGGGGAAUUUUGGACAAUGGGCGCAAGCCUGAUCCAGCCAUGCCGCGUGCGGGAAGAAGGCCUUCGGGUUGUAAACCGCUUUUGUCAGGGAAGAAAUCUUCUGAGUUAAUACCUCGGGAGGAUGACGGUACCUGAAGAAUAAGCACCGGCUAACUACGUGCCAGCAGCCGCGGUAAUACGUAGGGUGCAAGCGUUAAUCGGAAUACUGGGCGUAAAGCGUGCGCAGGCGGUUUUGUAAGACAGAGGUGAAAUCCCCGGGCUCAACCUGGGAACUGCCUUUGUGACUGCAAGGCUUGAGUGCGGCAGAGGGGGAUGGAAUUCCGCGUGUAGCAGUGAAAUGCGUAGAUAUGCGGAGGAACACCGAUGGCGAAGGCAAUCCCCUGGGCCUGCACUGACGCUCAUGCACGAAAGCGUGGGGAGCAAAACAGGAUUAGAUACCCUGGUAGUCCACGCCCUAAAACGAUGUCAAC
rnacentral:rRNA from 1 species